rnacentral:rRNA from 1 species
GAUCAUGGCUCAGGACGAACGCUGGCGGCGUGCUUAACACAUGCAAGUCGAACGAGAGGACAAGAGAAGCUUGCUUCUUUUGGAAUCGAGUGGCAAACGGGUGAGUAACACGUAAACAACCUGCCUUCAGGAUGGGGACAACAGACGGAAACGACUGCUAAUACCGAAUACGCUUGGAAGACCGCAUGAUUUUCCAAGGAAAGGGUGGCCUCUACCUGUAAGCUAUCGCCUGAAGAGGGGUUUGCGU